AUUCUUUUGUAGUCUGUGCAAGUGUGAUGAUUGGGUGUUAACACGCUUGUGUGAGAUGUUCCUUCCUCAACUGUUCCAAGGUAGUCUGCACGUUAUCCAUCUUGGG
ensembl:snoRNA